CAUUUAUACUGCAUGCAAAAAACUGCAUAGGAUUAUCUUAAAGUGGACAUUUAUGUAAAGGGGAGACUCGUGGGUACCAACGAAACCCAUUUUCAUUCACAUAUCUUGAGGUCAGAGGUCAAGGGACCCCUUUGAAAAUGGCCAUGCCAGUUUUUCC